rnacentral:lncRNA from 1 species
GUAUAAUGAAACAUAAUUGUUGUUUUAUUUGGUAUGAAACUGCUUAAAAAAGCCUUUGAAAAGUCUUUUUGUGGUCUUUUCAUGGUAUUUAAUCAAAAACUUCCAUAUAAGGAAAAAUUUAACUAAGAGUACACCAAGACUUUAGUUUCUAGAUGUACUUGCAAUACUGGUCAAAGCAAACACAGAAAACAAUUCAUAUUUAUUAAACAUAGUAUUUUACACCAU